GUGAGCACACAGUUAAUGACGCAAGGCAGUCCAAGACUUAAAACAUAAACCGUAUCUAAAAUAUCCUUUAAAGUGAGUAUGAAAGAAAUGUGUUCCCUAAACAGAGAAUAUAGAUUUAUUUGGCAACAUUUGAGUUCUUUGUCAAGAGCAGUGGCUUACAGAUCAAGAUGGAUACUUGUAUGAGGGUGAAACAUUGUACACGCUGCCACAUGGAGGGAUGAGGUGAGUCUUCAGUUGCAACUUCCUUCCUUCCACAAAGAUGAGAGAGGAUCCACAAGGACACACAAGGGUCUCUUUGACUGAGGUCGAUUUGAGACUGACCCCAGUGGUUAAUGAGAGUUGAGGGCGAGAGCUGAAUCCAAGUGAUCAAGCCAGACAACACUCCCUUGGCCCUGGGCCUGCCUGUCACUGUGAUUUACCCACAACCAUCCCAGCCCAGAACACAGACCAGACUCAAUAGACUGGACAGAAGCGUGGAGAAUAUUUGGACUCAGCUGUGGCUGAUGGAGCUACGCAUGUCAACUGGUCCCUGGAUGGUGAACUCCCACAGCCUGUGUGCUAGGCUGUAUAUGCCUUUUCCUGUUUGGGGACCACUCCAUCUGUGACACCUGAGCAUGCAUGGGAGCAUCAAACGAGACGAGCGGGGAGCUCUCCCAGCAGAUCCAGAGGAGAGCCAGCUCAGCUCCCUGCGUCUGGGCUCCGUGGCACGAUAGGCCAGUCACAAUCCACCGUCUCCACCCCAGACCACCUGGGUCUCUGCAGAGUGGGAAAAAGCAAUCUGUGCAAGAAGCCUGGAGCCUUCAGUACACAGGGUUUGAACAAUACGCUGCACCACACCUUUCUUUCUCCCUCUCUCUCUCUC